rnacentral:rRNA from 1 species
UUUAUUGGAGAGUUUGAUCCUGGCUCAGGAUGAACGCUGGCGGCGUGCCUAAUACAUGCAAGUCGAGCGAAUGGAUUGAGAGCUUGCUCUCAAGAAGUUAGCGGCGGACGGGUGAGUAACACGUGGGUAACCUGCCUAUAAGACUGGGAUAACUCCGGGAAACCGGGGCUAAUACCGGAUAAUAUUUUGAACUGCAUGGUUCGAAAUUGAAAGGCGGCUUCGGCUGUCACUUAUGGAUGGACCCGCGUCGCAUUA